ACCUUUAAACUCUCUCCAAGAGGACCAUGGAAAAAAAAAAAUGUAAUUUUAUUCGCGAAUUAUGUUUAUUUUCUGAAGUAACGUUAGCUACAUUUUUUUGUUUGAGUUUUCAUUGAUCAUCAUCAUAAUCGAUCGAAAUAUCUAGCAGGGAGAGAUGUAUGCCUUCCCAAGGGAUGGCAAAGCAUUUUGCCUGAUGUGGAUCAUAAGUGGAUGUCCGAAGCAUUGUUCAGGAGGUUGGGGAAUGGGAUUCCAGAGAUGGACUUUGCCAGGGUUGACAAAAUGUGGUGGGACCACCCUCCACCACCAUCUGCAGCUCAGUAGAGAUGGAAAGAUACUUUGCCGAUCCUCUGGAUGCCCAGGAAGCUCUGGCAGGUUUGAAGUACCUCUGAUCAGACUGGUUUGGUGCUGCAGGAUCACAAGGCUGCCAUUGAGGAACUGGAGACAGGUGAUCCUGAUGUCCAAGAGGAGGAUGAUGAGGGCUUUGUGGAGCUUGUGGAAUAUCAGGACCUGACAGUUCCUGGGCUGGAGACAGCCCUGCCUCUUGUUGGCACCUGUCGUCCUACUCCCACCCCCUCUAUCAGCAUCCAGUCCCCAGCUGCAUCAGUCAGUCCCCUGUCCUCCUCUCCUGUACGGGCUACUCCACCACCUGGGCCUCUGUCCUCCUCUCCUGUACAGGCUACUCCACCACCUGGGCCUCUGUCCUCCUCUCCUGUACGGGCUACUCCACCACCUGGGCCUCUGUCCUCCUCUCCUGUACGGGCUACUCCACCACCUGGGCCUCUGUCCUCCACACUUGGGCUCGUCCUUCCCCUGUCCUACGUUCCUGUUCGGGCUAACGUUACGCCUUAGUCCAUGUACCAUGAAUGUUCUUUUUAAAGCGUGAAUUGGCUCUGGCAGUCAAAACAGCCAAAUACUCCAUCUAAAGUAUUGGGGUGGUGAAAUGUUUUGUUGUUUCGGCUCUGUACUCCAGCACUUUGGAUUUGCAAUGAUACAAAGUGCAGACUGUCAGCUUUAAUUUGAGGGUAUUUUCAUCCAUAUUACAGCACUUUUUAUUACAGUACUUUUUGUACAUAGUCCCCCCAUUUUAAGAGGAACCAAAAGUAUUGGGAUAAAUUAACUUAUGUGUAUUAAAGUAGUCAAAAGUUUAGUAUUUGGUCCGUUAUUCCUAGCACGCAAUGAUUACAUCAAGCUUGUGACUACAAACAUUUGCUCUUUGUUUUGGUGUGUUUGAGAUUAUUUUGUGCCCAAUACAAAUGACUGAUAAAUCAUGUAUUGUGUCAUUUUGGAGUCACUUACUGUAAAUAAGAAUAGAAUAUGUUUCUAAACACUUCUACAUUAAUGUGGAUGCUACCAGGACUACCGAUAGUCCUGAUGAAUUGUGAAGAAUGAGCAGCAUGUCUUGGUGGUAUGUUGAGAGGUAGCUUGUAAGUAAGCAUUUCAUUGCACUGUUUACACCCCACUGUAUUGUGUAUAUAUAUGAUGAUUAAAAUUGGAUUUGAUUUGAUUUGACAGAGAGGAUGCUUGCCAUUUCAGGAGACGGUUCUAAAAGAGUACACCAGGGCUAUAUCUCUGGAUAAGUUUGGCCAGGAGGACUGUACUGCCCCGAGUUGGUAACCCAGAAGCAAGGCAGUUCAGCCUUCUGAAGGUGGCAUUGAUGAAGAGUGAUGCAAAAAAACAUGCUGCCAAUCAGAUGACUUUGUAGUGGUCCCAGCAUCCUGUCUACACCUCUACCCGCAUCCGUCCUCUGCUCCUGUACGGACUACUCCACCACCAGCGGGUUCUCUCUCCGUGGCCUUGACACCUGUGCUCUGCUGGGCCUCUCUUCAUGAUCUCCACACCUGUGCCCGGCUGGGACUCUGUUCAUGAUCUCCACACUUGUG